AGAGAGGUGCAAGAGUGGUUGAAUUGGCUACCCUGGAAAGGUAGUAUACUGGUAACGGUAUCGAGGGUUCGAAUCCCUUCCUCUCUG
rnacentral:tRNA from 1 species